CCUACGGAGGGCAGCAGUGGGGAAUAUUGGACAAUGGGCGAAAGCCUGAUCCAGCCAUGCCGCGUGUGUGAAGAAGGCCUUCGGGUUGUAAAGCACUUUCAGUGGGGAAGAAAGCCUUGGGGCUAAUACCCUCGAGGAAGGACAUCACCCACAGAAGAAGCACCGGCUAACUCCGUGCCAGCAGCCGCGGUAAUACGGAGGGUGCGAGCGUUAAUCGGAAUUACUGGGCGUAAAGCGCGCGUAGGCGGUCUGAUAAGCCGGUUGUGAAAGCCCCGGGCUCAACCUGGGAACGGCAUCCGGAACUGUCAGGCUAGAGUGCAGGAGAGGAAGGUAGAAUUCCCGGUGUAGCGGUGAAAUGCGUAGAGAUCGGGAGGAAUACCAGUGGCGAAGGCGGCCUUCUGGACUGACACUGACGCUGAGGUGCGAAAGCGUGGGUAGCAAACAGGAUUAGAUACCCGAGUAGUC
rnacentral:rRNA from 1 species